rnacentral:rRNA from 1 species
CAUGCCGCGUGUGUGAAGAAGGCCUUCGGGUUGUAAAGCACUUUCACUUGGGAAGAAAAGCCGGUGGUUAACAGCCGCUGGUAUUGACAUUACCUUGAGAAGAAGCACCGGCUAACUCCGUGCCAGCACCUUCGGUGACUGAGCGGGCUGGCAAGGCGCAUA